GGGCGCUCUGUCGCCCCCUGUCGCCCGAGGGGCGUCGGGAUCGUCCGUUGCUGGCGUCUUUGUUCCGAAGGCACAGAGGUCCUUGCCCGUCCUUCAGGGUGAUUCCCGUGACUACGGUCAUCACUGUGGACGCUUCCCUUAUGGUGGAUGCGGCAGUCGUCCCCCAGCCACCGCCCACCUUACCGCCUUUGGGUGAUGUUGUGGUGGCUUACGCGACCGGGGUGGUGGCAACUGGCAUGGGCGGUGAGCCCCGGGCUCCAUCACCUUCGUCGCUUGCCUCCUCCUCCCAUGUGUUGCCGAUGCCUCCACUUCCUACCCCCGAAGGAGGCCUUGAAUCACCCUCUGUUCAUCCUUGAGGGCUCGGAGGGGGAGGAGAUGGAGGUGCAAGAAUGGCAUCUGAUCAAAGCGACUGCCGACCACACUGACAUGAGCCUCGAGUCGGUGGAGCGCUUCCUUUGCAACUUCGGUAAGGCGGUCUCCAUUGCCAUUUGUCGAUGAUGCGGGACAUUAUUCCACACGACUAGCGUGUACUCUCAAUCAUCAGCUCCGAGGGAGGCAUUGGAGGCCGCACAAUGGGAGGUGGGGAGGCUAUGGGUAGAAAUGGCCCGCUCGGAGGAGAGAGAUCGGGAACUUUCCGGCCUCCGAGCCAGAACCGAGUGCCUUGAGGCCGAGGCCACGUGCCUUCGGUCAGGACGUGAAGAGGCGCGCAAGGAUGCCAAGUGCCUCCACGGGGAAAGGACGCGGCUUCAGCAGGAUCUGCGCGAGGUGACCUCACGGGCGGAAGAAACCGAGUCAACCCUACGGGCGGCGAAUGUUCGCUUGGGGGAAGCUAACAUGGACCUUCAGCGAGAGCGAGAGGUGGCCAGAGAACCGAAUGUAAGUGAAAUACAAAAGAAGGAAAAACAACAAAUUUGUCCUCUGGCUGAAUUGAAAGAAUCGAAAGUGGAAGAUGUGGACGUGCCUACAAACAAUUAGAAGACAAUUCUAGCAGGUUAGAUAUUUAGAGGUUUAGGACCACAAUAGCUGUUCUGUUGCCCAAAGGGAAUAUAGCGAGGUUGAGAGAGAGAAAAACUGGAGAAAAAGGAAAAAAACAGAAUUUGCACAUGUUAGAUCAGAUAGCAGAGAGGAAUCAAAUGCGGAAUCCAUUGGCUCAAUGGAAAUGUAGCGAUUUUUUUAUUGCAA